GAUGAAGAACGUAGCGAAAUGCGAUAAGUAAUGUGAAUUGCAGAAUUCAGUGAAUCAUCGAAUCUUUGGACGCACAUUGCGCCCGCCAGUAUUCUGGCGGGCAUGCCUGUCUGAGCGUCAUUUCAACCCUCAUGCCCCUAGGGCGUGGUGUUGGGGAUCGGCCAAAGCCCGCGAGGGACGGCCGGCCCCUAAAUCUAGUGGCGGACCCGUCGUGGCCUCCUCUGCGAAGUAGUGAUAUUCCGCAUCGGAGAGCGACGAGCCCCUGCCGUUAAACCCCCAACUUUCCAAGGUUGACCUCAGAUCAGGUAGGAAUACCCGCUGAACUUAAGCAUAUCAAUAAGCGGAGGA
rnacentral:misc_RNA from 1 species